UGUGAACAGUAACCGCGGACUAUGAACAGUAACGCCGCCAUGAAUAGUAACCACACAUGCUGUGAACAGUAACUCUGACAAUGAACAGUAACGCGGGUCCCAUGAAUAGUGCACGUGAAUAGUACACGUGAAUAGUGAAUAGUAACGGGGUACAUGAAUAGUAAAUUUUGUCUCACAUCAACAAUCUCCACCUUGAGACAUAAUUUACUCUUGUAACAAAAAAACCGAAGUUUUCACUUCAAUAAACUCCUCAUCAUCAGAUUAUCAGUUGUAAACAAUAUUUUGAAACUAGAUUGUCAUACCAACCAAAUUUGAGCAUAGCUCAAACUUAGUUGCUGGAACUGGCUUCGUCAGCAUGUCCGCCGGAUUGUCA
rnacentral:lncRNA from 1 species